rnacentral:rRNA from 1 species
UUACAAUAGCCGUUGUUUCUUGGAUCCUCAAUUUACUUGGAUACCUGUGGUAAUUCUAGAGCUAAUACAUGCGACUAAGGGCCGAACUCACGUGACGCUUGCAUUUAUUAGAUCAAGACUAACCGGCUUCGGCCGUUAACUUGGUGACUCUGAAUAACUCAGCUGAUCGCACGGUCUAGUGCCGGCGACAUAUCUUUCAAGUGUCUACCUUAUCAACUGUCGAUGGUAGUUUAUGUGACUACCAUGGUUGUAACGGGUAACGGAGAAUCAGGGUUUGACUCCGGAGAGGGAGCCUGAGAAACGGCUACCACUUCUAAGGAAGGCAGCAGGCGCGCAAAUUACACAAUCUCAGCACGAGGAUGUAGUGACGAAACAUACCGAGGCGAUGCCCUUUCGGGUGUCGUCAUUGGAAUGAGUCGAAUCUAAAAAAUUCGGCAAGGAUCUAGUGGAGGGCAAGUCUGGUGCCAGCAGCCGCGGUAAUUCCAGCUCCGCAAGUGUAUAUCUAUGCUGUUGCGGUUAAAAAGCUCGUAGUUUGAUUCGCGUACUUAGCACGCAGUGUGGCCUUUCGGCUACUACUGUGAUGCGGUACAUUAUCGUCAGUUUGUCGUUGAUGCUCUUCAUUGGGUGUCAGCGGCGGCUGUCAAGUUUACUUUGAACAAAUUAAAGUGCUCAAUACAGGCGUUUCGCUUGUAUAGUUCUGCAUGGAAUAAUAGAAUAGGACUUACGUUCUAUUGUGUUGGUUUUCAGAACGAAAGUAAUGAUUAAGAGGGACAGACGGGGUCAUUCGUACUGCCACGUUAGAGGUGAAAUUCUUGGAUCGUGGCAAGACGAACUACUGCGAAAGCAUUUGACAAGAAUGUUUUCAUUAAUCAAGAACGAA